UGCUGUGAUGUCGUAAUUUGCGUCUUACUCCACACUUGGCGACAGUUGCCUGCUGUCAUAAUGCCGGUAUGGAUGGCUGACGAAAAUCUAAAUUCUGAGCG